UACGUAGGUGGCAAGCGUUAUCCGGAUUUACUGGGUGUAAAGGGCGUGCAGCCGGAGAGACAAGUCAGAUGUGAAAUCCACGGGCUCAACCCGUGAACUGCAUUUGAAACUGUUUCCCUUGAGUGUCGGAGAGGUAAUCGGAAUUCCUUGUGUAGCGGUGAAAUGCGUAGAUAUAAGGAAGAACACCAGUGGCGAAGGCGGAUUACUGGACGAUAACUGACGGUGAGGCGCGAAAGCGUGGGGAGCAAACAGG
rnacentral:rRNA from 1 species